rnacentral:rRNA from 1 species
GACGAACGCUGGCGGCGUGCUUAACACAUGCAAGUCGAGCGGUAAGGCCCUUUCGGGGGUACACGAGCGGCGAACGGGUGAGUAACACGUGGGUGACCUGCCCUCAGCUCUAGGAUAAGCCUGGGAAACCGGGUCUAAUACUGGAUAUGACUCCAUGACGCAUGUUGUGGGGUGGAAAGCCUUGUGCGGCUGAGGAUGGGCCCGCGGCCUAUCAGCUUGUUGGUGGGGUGANGGCCUACCAAGGCGACGACGGGUAGCCGGCCUGAGAGGGCGACCGGCCACACUGGGACUGAGACACGGCCCAGACUCCUACGGGAGGCAGCAGUGGGGAAUCUUGCGCAAUGGGCGAAAGCCUGACGCAGCGACGCCGCGUGAGGGAUGACGGCCUC